ACUCAGUGUUCUUACUUGCAUAAUGCAAUUACUAUUACUACCUCACAUGUAAAAGGGGGGAUUUCUAUAGUCUGCUAUCUUGCAAGUGAAAGGAGCCAUGGAUAGCUGGUCUCUGUUCACAGGAGUAACAAAGUGGACACCUCCAGAUGCGAGACAGAUCAAACAGAAAUGUGGCUAUUUGGAAAGAGCAAUCUUCUCCCACUGAUGAAAGGUGCUCACAACCAAAGAGCCAAUCUAUGCCUAUGUGGAGCUGUGGACAGUUCUAUGCAGAUCAUGUGAUACAAAGGAAAGUGAUGGACAAGUACUUUGGCAUGUACCAGGUG